AGUGAACGCUGGCGGUAGGCCUAACACAUGCAAGUCGAACGGCAGCACCGUAAGAGCUUGCUCUUACGGGUGGCGAGUGGCGGACGGGUGAGGAAUAAAUCGUAAUCUACUUUUUCGUGGGGGAUAACGUAGGGAAACUUACGCUAAUACCGCAUACGACCUACGGGUGAAAGCAGGGGAUCUUCGGACCUUGCGCGAUUGAAUGAGCCGAUGUCGGAUUAGCUAGUUGGCGGGGUAAAGGCCCACCAAGGCGACGAUCCGUAGCUGGUCUGAGAGGAUGAUCAGCCACACUGGAACUGAGACACGGUCCAGACUCCGACGGGAGGCAGCAGUGGGGAAUAUUGGACAAUGGGCGCAAGCCUGAUCCAGCCAUACCGCGUGGGUGAAGAAGGCCUUCGGGUUGUAAAGCCCUUUUGUUGGGAAAGAAAAGCAGCAGGUUAAUACCCCGCUGUUCUGACGGUACCCAAAGAAUAAGCACCGGCUAACUUCGUG
rnacentral:rRNA from 1 species